rnacentral:sRNA from 1 species
UCCCUCGUUUCUCCCUCCCCGCCUCCUCCGCAGAAGCCGAGCGCCAAACUCAAACUCUAUCAGGACCUGGACGUCUCUUAGGCUAGUUCCGAGGGACGGGCCUGUUGGGCUUUUCCGCACACCAGCCGGGGCAGCGAGCAAACAUGAGCCAAGUUCUGUUCCACCAACUAGUCCCGUUGCAGGUGAAAUGCAAAGACUGCGAGGAGAGGAGAGUAAGUAUAAGAAUGAGCAUUGAACUACAAUCAGUUUCUAAUCCAGUUCACAGAAAGGACUUAGUUAUUCGUCUGACUGAUGACACGGAUCCUUUUUUUUUAUAUAACCUUGUUAUAUCUGAGGAAGAUUUUCAAAGUUUAAAAUUCCAGCAGGGUCUUCUGGUAGACUUCUUAGCUUUCCCACAAAAAUUUAUAGAUCUCCUUCAACAAUGUACUCAAGAACAUGCCAAAGAAAUUCCAAGGUUUUUGCUACAGUUAGUUUCUCCAGCAGCUAUUUUGGAUAACUCACCUGCAUUUUUAAAUGUGGUAGAGACAAAUCCUUUUAAGCAUCUUACACACCUCUCACUAAAACUUUUACCUGGAAAUGAUGUGGAGAUAAAGAAAUUUCUCGCAGGCUGUUUGAAAUGUAGUAAGGAAGAAAAAUUAUCAUUGAUGCAAUCACUAGAUGAUGCUACUAGGCAACUGGACUUUACACAAAAGACAUUAGCAGAAAAAAAACAAGAAUUAGAUAAGUUACGGAACGAAUGGGCGUCACAUACAGCAGCCUUGACAAACAAGCAUUCUCAGGAACUGACAAAUGAAAAGGAAAAAGCUUUGCAGGCACAGGUUCAAUAUCAACAGCAGCAUGAACAGCAGAAAAAAGAUUUAGAAAUCCUCCAUCAACAAAACAUCCACCAGCUACAAAACAGACUGUCUGAGUUAGAAGCAGCUAAUAAAGACUUAACCGAAAGAAAAUAUAAAGGAGACUCCACUAUUAGAGAACUUAAAGCAAAACUUUCUGGUGUUGAAGAGGAGCUACAGCGGACUAAGCAAGAAGUCCUUUCUUUGCGAAGAGAGAAUUCUACACUAGAUGUUGAAUGCCAUGAGAAAGAAAAGCACAUUAAUCAGCUACAAACAAAAGUGGCAGUUUUAGAACAGGAAAUCAAGGAUAAGGACCAGCUUGUUUUAAGAACAAAAGAGGCAUUUGAUACAAUCCAGGAACAAAAGGUCUACUUUUAAAUUUUUCUCAGAAAUUGAUAGUCAUAUUUAUAAGUAAACACAAAUGCCCUAAUUAUUCAUGUUUUUAAAAAAUAUAUCAGGUGGUUUUAGAAGAAAAUGGUGAGAAAAAUCAAGUACAACUAGGAAAGCUUGAAGCUACAAUAAAAUCAUUAUCUGCAGAACUUCUGAAGGUUUGUUUUAAAAAUUUUAUAGACUAAUAUUUCAUUAGAUUACAUAGAAAUAUACAUAUGAAGCUCUUUUAUAGGCAAAUGAAAUUAUCAAGAAGUUACAAGGGGAUCUGAAAACUUUAAUGGGUAAGUUGAAAUUGAAGAAUACAGUUACUAUUCAGCAAGAAAAACUCUUGGCUGAGAAGGAGGAAAAAUUACAAAAGGAACAAAAGGAAUUACAAGAUGUUGGACAGUCUCUUCGAAUUAAAGAGCAAGAGGUAUGCAAAUUACAAGAACAAUUAGAAGCUACAGUUAAAAAACUUGAAGAAAGCAAACAACUUCUAAAAAAUAAUGAAAAGUUAAUCACGUGGUUAAAUAAAGAACUAAAUGAAAAUCAGCUAGUGAGAAAGCAAGAUGUAUUGGGACCUUCUACUACUCCGCCUGCACAUUCCAGCAGCAACACAAUCAGAAGUGGAAUUUCUCCUAACCUGAAUGUGGUUGAUGGUAGACUGACUUACCCAGCCUGUGGGAUUGGUUAUCCUGUCUCCUCUGCAUUUGCAUUCCAGAAUACCUUCCCUCAUUCGAUAUCUGCCAAAAAUACCAGCCACCCUGGUUCAGCAACAAAGGUUCAGUUUAAUUUGCAGUUUACAAAACCAAAUGCAUCACUAGGAGAUGUUCAGUCAGGAGCAACUAUUAGUAUGCCUUGCUCAACUGAUAAGGAAAAUGGUGAAAAUUUAGGGUUGGAAUCCAAAUACCUGAAGAAAAGGGAAGAUAGCAUUCCUUUACGCGGACUCAGCCAGAACCUAUUUAGUAAUUCAGACCAUCAGAGAGAUGGCACUUUAGGAGCAUUACAUACAUCUUCCAAACCCACAGUGCUCCCUUCUGCAUCUUCGGCCUAUUUCCCUGGGCAGUUACCAAACAAUUAAUUCUAGUGUCAUGUUUUACUUUUUAUUGGUAUUUUAGAAACUCAGGUGCUUAAAAAAUGUGUCAACACAAACCAGAUCCUAAAAUAGCAAGUUUCAAAUUUUACUUGAGCUGUUAGACUGGAUACUUUAAGUACUGCUAUCUUUUAUGGCAGUUUAUAGGAACAAAUUUGUACUUGGGGAUUGGUAAAGAUUGUGAGUAAAUGACAUUUUUCGGUUUGUGAACAUGGUGUUUUAUAGAAUAAUAUGAAUUUUAUUAAGCUAUUCUUUAGAAAUUCAGUUCUAAGGAAAGAGUUGAUCCUUAUAAGGGAGAUUCUGAUCAUAUUAAAAAUCUGGGUAAACUAAAACCUGCUCAUAAGCUCAUAGUAUGCAACCAAAGAAUGCUAAUUCAUUUUAUCACUUUCAUUGGUAAAACUUUUAAAUUCAACACCUGAAAAUUAUGAGGGAAAAUGAUUACCUCUUGAGAUAUAUUAUUGAUGACAUUUAAAGGGAAAAGUCCUAAAAUUACCUUAAAUAAUUGAAAUGAAUUAAGCCUUCAUAGCAUAUUUUCCUUGAAGCAUUUAAAUUUGCUAUUGAUGAAUCAAAUAAAUUUGAUAUACUUAAAAUAAUUUGGACAGUGUAUUUAUGUGACCAGAUUAAGUGCUUUAGUCAUUUGAGCUGACAAGUUUUUAAAACUUCAGUGCUUCCUAAAUGUUUAUACUUAUCUAGUUUUUCUCAAUUUGUAGUUUUAUUAUGCAGUUGAAUCUGUAUCAGUGGACUUUUAAAACUUGGUACUACUACUAAGUCUACUAUAUCAUGAAUAUUCAUUUAUUUUUAUAGUAUCAGAACUUGGGUUGAUUUCAAUGUUAAUAAACUAGGCAAAACAAAUAACUGUUAGAAGGUACAAUUUUCUUCCCUUCCCUGUAACUAAAAGUUUUAAGAAUUGUUCCUUAGGGAAAAAUUUUUUAAAAAUUCACCUAGAAUCAUAGGGCCUCAUUUUGUUUUCUUAUUGACAAAAUACCUGGUAGCAUUCUCUAAAGAGUCUUCUAGAUCAAUUUUUGUAAAGUACUAAUGCUCAUGUGAUAAUUUAAAAUUAUUUUCAACUACUUGAUUACACAGAUGAAGAAACAUUUCAAGAUAUUAAUGAUGUAAUAAUGUUACUGAGUUCCAUGGUAAGAAAGAAUCUUUGCUAUUUUUUUUUUUUUUUACGAAGCCAGUAUCUUGAAGCUAUUGGCAGUUGCAAGUGUCUUUAAACUAGGGAUCUAAUCUGAAAAUUCAGUAACUAAUAUUAGGCAGUGAUACUGCCCCUACCUCCCCCAUUUAGAUAGACUGCUGUAUUAGUGAGAAUACUUGGUACAGUAACUUGAAAGCACUUGCUAUUCUGGAAAGAAGCAUCUUGGUGAUUUUGGAAGGGGCUUUGUUGUAAAUACUAUGUAAUAUAUAUAAAAUAUUGUGACAGGUUUUGGAUGGGAUGCAUGACAUACAGGUAGCUCUCUUUUUUUAAAUAUAGGUAUCUCUUUGCAUAUAUAUAUACACAAGGAAAGUUGAAUUUUCAGGAGAGAUCAUUCUGAUAGCUUGCAAAUUUGUUUGUAUUAAAUGUAUAUAGACUUCCAAGUGUGCUAAUUCUUUACCUCCUAAACUUUUAGUUGCAAUUGUUUUGCAGUGUAAAAUUGUACAUGUGUUAAUAAUCAAAGUGUUGCAUUUAAUGUUAUUUCUGUAAACUUUGAGCUUUGUUAAUAAACUAUUAUGCAGCAUCUACACUUUG